CCCACCCCCCAUACCCGCCUCCUCCAGGGCAAAGCCUCCCCCAAGGACUGAGAUCAACCUGGUAGACUCAGUCCAGGCAGGUCCAGUCCCCUCCUCCAAGGCUGAGCCAAGCAACCCUGCAUAAGCCCCAGGUUUCAAACAGCCAACUCAUGCAAUGAGCACAGGACCCAGUCCCACUGCCUGGAUGCCUCCCAAACAGAUCAAGCCAAUCAACUGUCUCACCCAUUCAGAGGCCCUGAUCCAGUUGGGGACCCCUCAGCCAUUGGUUCAUAGUUCAUGUGUUUCCAUUUGUUUGGCUACUUGUCCCUGUGCUUUAUCCUUGGUCUCAACAAUUCUUGCUCAUAUAAACCCUGCUCUUUCUCGCUAAUUGGACUCCCGGAGCUCCACCCGGAGCCUAGCCGUGGAUCUCUGCAUCCAGUUCCCUCAGUCAUUGGAUGGGGUUUCUAGCAUGACAAUUAGGGUGUUUGGCCAUCCCAUCACCAGAGUAGGUCAGUUCUGGCUGUUGCUCGGCCAUUGCCAACAGUCUAUUGUGGGGGUAUCUGUGGAUUUCUGUGGGCCUCUCUAGCACUUUGCUUCUUCCUAUUCUCAUGUGGUCUUCAUUUACCAUGGUCUCCUAUUCCUUGUUCUCCCUCUCUGUUGUUGAUCCAGCUGGGAUCUCCCGCUCCCCCAAGCUCUCUUUCCCUUGACCCUUGCCCUUCAUUACCCCAACUCGUGUUCAGGCUGCUCAUGUAGAUCUCAUCCAUUUCUCUGUCAUUGGGCGAUCCCAAUUUCUUGGGGUCCUGUUUUCCAGAUAGCCUCAACACUGAUCAAAGUUAUCUAGAAAUAGGUACAUUUAAGGGGAAUUUCACAAUUUAAACUCUGAGGAUAUUUGGUAAUAUGAUGGUUAUGCUUUAAGCGUCACAUUGUCAUCCCUUUUUGUGAAGGGAUAUUUAGGUGUUCAGCACUGUGAAAAAUAGCUAAGGAAAAAGAAAUGAUAGACCAGAUGAAGCAGCUGCCAAGAAUUUCAAAUGGGAUUGGAUCGCAUAUCAUGGGGCUCAUUUCAGGAGGAGAAUAACUCUCCUUCUCUUAACAACAGUUAAUUGUGUGUAGCUUUUUAACUAAUCUGCUUUUUAACUGAUGGGGUCCUAUGAGAUUGCCUCCACACACAUUAUCUUGUCAACUUGUGUUGUCAUUGUCCAAGUCAUUUAGUCAAUUGUACUGUUGAAAGUUCAUGGCUGCAGGGUCCAUGUCAUUUAUAUAGGGCACAGGAGAAGUUGGUGUUGGGAAGAGGAAGGGGAUGGAAAAUUUAUAAAUACAGCAAUCAUGUAUGAUAUUCUGAAAAGAAAUGAGCAUUGAAAACUUGCUAAAACUUAAAAAAAUUAGAUACAGAACUGUCUUUAUGUGAAGGUAUUAGUCUGAUAUAAAAGGAGAAAAAAACCAACAGAAUUGAGAUAUUAACUGAAAAAUGGGAAAAGAAACCAAACAAAACAGUUUUCAUCUGAAAAUGAAGAAUACUGGUCCACCACCUUAAGUCUUUGUUAAAAACUAUGUAAUUAGUGCUGGAUAUAUAAUGUUAUUUUUUAUGAGUCCUUUUAUUGAGCCAGCAUAGGCUAUGUUCAUAUCUAUUUUCCAGUGUGCUGUGGGAGGCUAUCCACUAAAAUUUCCCAAGGUGCUUGCAGUGCCUUUUCAGUUCAGAGCACUACACAUGCAAAUGAGCCCUAGAUUUUGAUGGGGAAAUCCCUCCAGUUGCCUUUAUUUUACUAACAGGAUGUGCACAAGAGCUAAAGGAAAAACAAUUAUUGAACAACUCUGUAUUUUUUUUUUACCUUGGAAGCUUAGCAAGAGAGAUUGAUAGCUGAAUUUAUUAGACAAGAUAAGCUGGAAAAACUAAAUACUAAACUUGGAAGUUGGCCAAUUACCUUAUUGAUUUUUAAUGUGGGUGUUCUUAAAUUUAUAAAUCCAUAAAGAGGUUAGAAAACCUUUCGUAUUCUCAAUUGAUAUGAAGCUUUUGUUGUCACACAUUUAAAUAUGAGUAAGAUUAAACCUAUGUAGGUGAAGUUAGAGGUAGUUCCUAACAUACAGGUGGUUGCAACCCAUCUUUGGUACUUUAUAGAGAAAGAUAAUACAAAAUAAACCCAAUAUCUGUAUUAGUUGCCAGUUACAAUUGCUCAAAGCAUUAUUUAGAGUGUACAAGCUAAUGGAAUGCCACUAGUAACUAUGGUAAAAGCCAAGGAAUUAGGAAAAGGAAUCAUGAAGAAUAUUGAGUAAAAUGUUAGAGGUUAAACCUCAUUUUAGAGCCUCCUCAAGAAGACAUUUCCAAUUUUGUAAACUCAGACAAGAAACAACUGUCAGUUGUGAAUUUCCACCAUUUAUAAGACUAAAUUUCUCUUUGAGAUAUUACACAAAUUCUUGACAAUUUUUUUGUGCUGUAGUCAAAAUAAACAGCAGUCUUCCACACCCCUAAACUAGAUGUUGAAUCCUAUGGAGAUUAGGAUAUUGUAACAUUAAUAAAACUUCUACU